AUUGAACGCUGGCGGCAGGCCUAACACAUGCAAGUCGAACGAGUGGCGGACGGGUGAGUAAUGUCUGGGAAACUGCCUGAUGGAGGGGGAUAACUACUGGAGACGGUAGCUAAUACCGCAUACCAUCAGAUGUGCCCACAUGGGAUUAGCUAUGUGGUGGGGUAACGGCUCACCUAGCCGACGAUCCCUAGCUGGUCUGAGAGGAUGACCAGCCACACUGGAACUGAUACACGGUCCAGACUCCUACGGGAGGCAGCAGUGGGGAAUAUUGCACAAUGGGCGCAAGCCUGAUACAGCCAUGCCGCGUGUAUGAAGAAGGCCUGCGGGUUGUAAAGUACUUUCAGCGGUGAGGCGUUACCCGCAGAAGAAGCACCGGCUAACUCCGUGCCAGCAGCCGCGGUAAUAC
rnacentral:rRNA from 1 species